AUCCCAGCCCCCCCGAGGGGAUAAAGGCUGCUUGAACCGUCCGCUCGCUGUUCUGACGGAGCUCGGGUCCUGAGGAGCGCCCAGCCGUGGUGGGGUGCGAGCUGUACCAGGAUUAAGAACAGUGGAGCUGUCUCAACCAGUUAGUAAAAUCUCCCAUGCAAAAGCUGUAAUCCUGAACAUUACUGGAGCUGAAUUAUGGACCACGAGCCUCAAAACCUGCAGAGAGCAGUUAUCCCAAGGGCACUUCACACAACCUGGACUAAACCAGCUCCAAAGGGAAACAGCUUCCAAUGAGAGGAUGGACCUGAACCGAGACUUCAGAUUCAAACACUUCACACUGUGA
rnacentral:lncRNA from 1 species